UUUUGUUUUUUUUUGGGUUUUUUUUUUUUUUUUUUUUUUAUUUUUCUUAUAAGGAUUGUUUCAUCCAACUUAAUUGCAGAAAAUCUUCCUUCAGAAAAAAGCCUCAGUUUCCAUUAUUUCAUUCUGGAAAGAAAAAUCAAACUAAAUCUCGUGUAAAAGAUUGUCUUGACUUUUCCCCACUCUUUCCACUCCCAGUCUCUUUGAAACAUCAGAAUAAUUUUCUUCUUGCAAACAGCAUGGGCUAAUAAAGUUAAAGUCUAUUUCCAUUUUUAUAAGUGUUCUAAACUUGUUCAGUGUAAUAGCUUUACAGUGUGAGCCCUUGACUAGCAAAAUAUGAGGUAUAAUCUCAUGUUUUCAUCAAGAUAGUAGUGAUUUUCUUCUAAGAGCACUGAAAACUGUGAUCUGAGGAAAGAAAAGGAAAAAAGAAGUGCUUGUGGUUUCUCUGGUCACAGGAAGAAGACUGGGAAUUUCCAAUUCAGCUCCUAUUAAAAAAAAUUCAGUGAGUAUGAAAGCUUUAACUGGCCAUUUAGUUGAAGAAUAGGUUAUGUUUAAAUGGCACAGUGUACUGACAGAUCAAUAAAAUUCUGAGUCACUAGAUGGAGAAUAAUGAACAAUUUAAGCUCUUUGAAAUGGAAUUGGUCACUCCUGCUUGAAAAGGGUUUUUAAGUUGUUCCACUAGCAGUGGAAAUGAAUCUACUGUGUUAUAAAUACAUUUACUACAUUCCUUCUCCCUCAUAGCUGUUAUUCCUAAUGAAAUACAAAAAUAACAAUAACUAGUAAUUAUAAUUGAUUAUUCAACAAAUUUGUAAAUUACCUAGUUUCCCUUUCUAUAUAUCCCUCUGGAAGAAGAGAUAGUCUGUGGUAUGUGUGGUUUUGGAUUUUGCACACAUUUGCUGGAUGGGUAGGAAGUACAAACCAAAUAGCCAGGUUAAUAGAGGAUUUCUAUCAUCUUUUAUUGGGAAAUCUAGAUGGAAGAUGUGUGGAUAAAUGGAGUAAAGGGAAGGACUUAAUCACUCAUGGACUCUUCUGAAUGUGCAGGGGUGACCCAAUAUUUCUGCAGCACACAUCCUUUGCCUAUCAUGGCUUUAUCCUCAUACCAGCUUUGUGGUAGAAAGAAAAGUAGCAGCCAUAAUUAAAAAGAAGGUGACCUUUCACAUCACCAGGUCUUGCAAGGGAAACUUACCAAAGGAGUGAUAAAGUUACUGCAGGUAACUUUAUAAAACAUUCAAAUAUAGAGAUCAAGUUCCAGCAGGUCCCAUGGCAUGAGCAGAAAACUUUAUGGCAAACAUCCAUCUGCCAUUUAGAUGUGUCCUGAUGUGCCAUGUGCCAGGCAGUUGUAAUUGCAUUAGUUCAAGUUAUGUCAUGUCUGGACUUGGAGCUGUUGCCUUUAGUUGUUUUUCUGGGCAACUAGCUCACUCCAUGUCCUUCCUUCCGGGACUAUGGAGAGCGGCUGUUUCAUCUACGCUGCUAUGGCAAAGAAAGCGCCUCAAGCACCGAGGGCCUUGUGAAACUCCUGAUUGUGCACACAGCUUAACUGCUUUCUCACUCCAUUUCAAACUGAGACAGGGUCACACAAGUGGUUUAGGGUGGAAUCUCCUUGAGGUCAUUGUUGAUGGAAAACUAAAUAAGAGUUAGCAGUGCCCUGGCAGCCAGGAAGGCCAACACUGUCCUGGGGUGCAUCAGGCAGAGCAUCACCAGCCAGGCAAGGGAGGGGAUUGUCCCCUUUGAUCUGCACUGGGGCAGCCUCACCUUGAAUAUUGUGUACAGUUUAGGGUGCAGCCAUAUAAAAAAGACAUUAAAUUAUUACAGAGUGCUCAAAGGAUGGCCAUGAGGAUGGUGAAGGGCCUUGAGGGGAAGCUGUAUGAGGAGUCACUGAGGUCAAUUGGUCUGUUCAGCCUGGAGAAAGGGAGACUGAGGGGAGACUUCAUUGCAAUUACAACUUGUGAGGGGAAGAGGAGGGGCAGACACUGAUCUCCUCUCUGUGGUGCCCAGUGACAGAACUCGAGAAAAUUACCUGAAGCUGUGUCAAGGGAGGUUUAUGUUGGUUAUUAAAAUGUUCUUCACCCAGAGGGUUGCUGCACUGGAACAGGCUCCAAGUUGGUUGCAGCACCAGCCUGAUAAAGUUCAAGAAACAUUUGGACAAUGCUCUCAGGCACAUGGUGUGACUCUUCAGGAUGGUGCUGUACAGGACCAGGGGUUGAACUCAAUGAUCAUGAUUGGUUCCUUCCAAAUCAGCAUAUUCUAUGAUUCUAUGAUCUGGUCCAACCUCUCUACUCAUAUAAAGUCACCUAGAACAAACCGGCCAGGGAAAUGCCCAGACAGGUUUGGAAUAUCUUCAAGGAAACUCCAGAAUCACUCUAGACCACCUGUUCCAGUGUUUGAUCAACUUCAGAGUGAAAAAGACUUUUUUAUUGCUUUCAAAUGGAAUUUCAGGUGUGUUAACCUCUGCCCAUUGAAACAUGUCUUAUCACUGAGCACCACUGAGAAGAGUCUGGCUUCCUUUUCUUCAUCAAUGUAGCAAUAGAUACUUUUAUCACAUUUGAUAACAUCCACGUCCCCCUGCCUCCAAGCUUUUUCCUUUCCAGCCUAGAGUCCCAGCUCUCUCAGACUACUCUUUUACUCAUUAUCUGAUUGCUAGGUGCAUGCUCUAAUUGCUAGGUACAUCCAUUGUAGUGCAGUUUUGUUCUGUAACCUUUAUUGUGUCAUUGAUGUUUUUAAAGACAUUCAGUUUCCAAGUCAUACAGGUGUAAUGGAAGAAAACUAUUCCUCUAUGUAUUCUUAGGACUUCUAUGGCAGUUUCAGCUGCCUGCAACUUUAUUGGGUAGAGUCAUGUACAUAUUUAUAGCAAAACAUCAUAAAUGAAAUUGUCUUUUUGAAUGCUUAGUUUUCGGUAGGUCAGGCACAAACCACUGAUUUGCACUUUAGCCUCUCCUGAUACUUGAGAACUAUAGUAACACAGCCUGUGAAGUCACCUGUGGACAAGAAGGAUUGAGGUUCCUACACUAAAUUUUGUUUCUAUUCAACUAUCUUUUUGUUGUAUCUAAACCCCAGCUUUGAAAUGGAAGGGUUACACUCUUAUAUCUGUUCCUCCUCUGUUCAGUCAGGCAGGCCAUGGUGAUCCUGACCUUACUGCAGUCCAUUUUCUCAUCCCAAUAUAGUAUUCUUAUUUGAUGGAGUUUCUAUUUUGUUUAUUAUGAAAUGUUAAUUUUGUUUAGCAGAAUAUUGCUGUCUCCUUCCAAAACUCUUCAGAUUCCCUGGUUAUGGUCCUCAAUUGUCUUUCCUCAGGAAAAAAAAGACUAUUUACUUAGAUCUUGGCAGUUGUCUUAACCAUCACAAUGUUUACUUUAUUUUCAGUACAAAAAACUUGUUACCAGAUACAACCCAGAUGGUGGCUUAUUUUUCCAAAAGAUAACAUGUAAUAUAGACAAACAUGCUGUGAUGUCUCUGAGGACAGAAAAAUAUUUUACAUCAAUGAUGUGUCUCAAAAAUUUUACUUUGUGGAGAUCAUAUUAUCUUUUUUUACAUUUGUGGGUUGUUCUGUGUCUAUACAAGUGAAUACAUCAAUCUUUCCUCUCUACAACGGCCCAUUUUUUUGGUCUUUACCUGGGGUCUGAUUUGAAAUGAAAUUAAUCAUCCUCUGAUUUUACACAAAGGCAACUUUGCAAUAAGUAAUCUAAAAAUUCAGGUUUGAUCAUAUGCUGUUGGGAUUUUAGUUUAACACUGAACAGGGGAGAGCUUUCUCUCAUAGUGUAACGAAUGAUAUUGAUCUCCAAAUAUAUUGCUCACAUCCAUUGUAUACAUUCUCCUUAUGGGUAUAAAGCCAGCUUUGAAGCAUGUCUGACUUUUAGUUUUCAUUUCUUUAGCCUGGAUAUUGCUUACAGCAUUAGUGCUGUUGUUUCUGACCUUGUAUUAGCCUGUGUAUCUGUUCAGUUUAAAAUUAAUGAUAUUCCCCUGGCUCUCAAGAUCUACUGAUGUUCUGUGACAUAAGCAAAUACUCUACUUAAGAGAGGUCAUUUAAGGUAGUCCUUUUGUUGCCAUCCUUCUUGUCUAAACAAUGGAAGUCCUGCUGGCAUUUGGACAGUUUUGCAAAGUAAUGCUGUGCACUGCAAUCCUAGCUUUUCUUUAAAGUGCCAAGGAUUUUCUGGGCUUAUUGGUCAGAGUGCGUUUAGCAUGUAGCGUUUUAGGGAUCUAUGCUAACACAAGGUGCUCAGAAGUAACUUAGUGACAUAUGGAAAGUGAACAUGGCCUUCUGCAGAGAGGCUAAAGCUCAAUAGCAUUUCUGGGUGCACACUGAUCACAGCAUUUGUAGCCUGUGGCACCGGGCAUAGGCACCAGUCUCUGACAAUAAUGUGUUUCACAGUGUUGUUCAUUUAUCUACCAUGUGUGCUGGCAAAAGGCUGGCAGCCUUCAGGCUCAGCUUCUCAGCAAUCCACUUGGUACCUUAGGCAAGCGAAAAGAGAGGAACAGACAAAUUUUGGGUGCAAACUUUCACAGUCAGCAGGUUCUGAAAUCCGUGUCUGCUUCUUCACAACUUUGUCAGUGUCAUACAAUUUCUGCAAAAUGUUUCACUUUUGAUCAAUCACCUGUCUCCAUCCAAAAGAGCUCCAUUAACAGACUUGUGUCAAGGCACAUGUAUGGUUGUAAUUCAGAGUCCUACACAUACAAUAGGAUUUUUUUAAGGCAGGGUUUUCUAGAAACAUAGAAUGAAAGUCCAUUUCUGUCUCACAAAUAUGGCAAAAGACUUCUGACCUUGGAGUUUAAAACAGACUACAUGUAAAGAAGAUAAACAAUCCCACAAUAUAUUGUUGUAAUGUUAAUCUGUGGGAUGAAUUUACCUAUGGAUUUUUGGGUAUAUCUACACUUAUAUUUUAAUUUUUCAUUUUGAAGCAAUAUUUUAAUUUAAGCAAAGCCUUAAAUUAAACAAACCAAAAGACAAAGAUAGAAAAAAAGGAUUUAAAAUUAUUUAAACCAUCAAAAUACCUUUCAUUUGGAAUUGAAAUGUUUUAUGUUAAUCCAAAAAUCUGUUUUCAAAAUCCUGGUUGUUAUUUUACCAAAAAAAAAAAAAAAAAGUCUUAACUUGAUUACUUAUUUCUUUUGGAACUGUUCUCACUUUUCAAUUCUCUGUUUUUUUUUAUUAUUCUACUAAACAAAAAUAUGAAUAUUCAUAUGGUUCUUUUCUGAGAUUUUAUUUCUCUGUGUAUGUUCCAGUCCUAACCAGAAAAAGCUGAGAUUGCAGCUUUCACUAGGAAAAUGCUAGUAGUACAAAAAGUUACUAGGAAAUCCUUUUUUAGUUAUUAUGUGAAGCCAUUAAAAGAAAACUGAAAGCCAUUAAGACAAAAAAAAAAAAACUAUCCAGCAAUUAAAACAAGUUCUUCUUCUCUUUUAUGACAAUAUAUUUUCCUAAGGAUGUCUUCCUUUUCAGAACAAUUCAUAUUGAUAACUCCCUCUUUUGCACACCAAAAGUGUUAACAGGGAUAUACUGUUCAUUUUCAAUUCCAGAUGUCAAAGCAUUUGUUGCUUCUCUUUCCAGUCUUAAGAAAUGUUUCUAUACUUAAAGGCUUGUCUACAUCAGUAACAGAUAUUAACACUGCCUUAAAUAAUGCCAUACCUGUACUUUUUUGUAUUAACAUUACAAUAAAAUACUACUUGAGAGAGAGAGAUUUUCUAGACAGUAUUUUGGAGAGCCUCUCUAGUUUUCUCCACUGAUUUUAGGGAGAUUCAAAGGACACUAAUCUCUAAUUCAGCACUUCAUUAUGUAACUUAAAACUCAUCUGUCCGAAAUAUAUACUUAAGUCUUAAUCCUUGCUGCAUCACCAGGUCUAAAGAUUUGUGCAUCACACGGUGAGAAUGUCAGUACAGAAAAAUCUGCACUGUAGAAGUCACAACACAGCAUUGAUUUCAAUUCAGUCUUUAUUACAGAAUAUCCUUCCACAGAAAGAAUUAUAAAUACCUGAGCUUUAUCUAAGGACUCCUUAUCACCAUUGGCCCUAGUGGGAGGAUGCCUCAGCCUCUGGGGACCAGCAGUCUCAUGCCAUUGUGUUGGAGCUUCCAGGCAUAUGGUGAAAUCAGGGAAUGCCAUCCAACAUGCACCAUGUAAUUAGUUACAGUCACCAAGAAAUCAUUUUCUUGCAAUAUUUUGUACAGACUCUCUAGAAAGUCAACGCCCUGAAAUUUCCUCUGUGGCAAUUCUGGAAAAGUGUGCAAUCUUUCAGGGGCUCUGUGUGUUUUUGGUUUCUCUGGUGCCUGUCUGAGUGCUUUGUGAAGGCAAGGAAAACUCUAAUAGGAAAGGCUGCAGAAGUUAACAGGAAAGGUGAGACAAUGGCACAGAUAAGAGCAUCAGGUUCUCAGCUUCAAAGGAGUUCAGAUAACAAUGGCUAGGACACCAAGUGAUGGGAAGCAUUUGCCUGUCUGGCUCCAUCCUUUCUGGGAUCAAAAGACAUGGAAAAAACCUCAAAGACCCUUGAAAAGGGAGGGGAUUCAGAAGAGUGCCCAGAUCGUGUCAAAGAAAAAGCACUGUUGGGCUCCCUUCUCACACGUUAAAGAGAGAGGCCACUUUUGACAGAGAAAUUGGGAGUAAAGGAGGGCUUCCUUUUGAAAGAGUGGAGAAAACUUGGUAAAUAAUACGUGUGUUAAUAUGCAACAUAAUUUAAAAAAUAAUUUUCCCAGUAUUGCAUUCCUUCUGGUGAAGAAAUAAAUGGGUUUUUUUCUAUUACAAAUGUUUUCCUUAUUACUGUAGAAGAUAUUCAGACUCCAAGAAGAGACCUUCUAGAAAGACUAAUUAUAUCUGUCUCCUAUUUAUAGCUAAGAGAGGAUAAAAUGUUGGAGGAUGUGUUUUGGAUACUUCUUUGAGAAUGGGCUCAAUGAAGCCAGUCACUCUGAGUGUGCAUUCAUAAAAGAGGUUUUUGACAACUGGACGGACAAACCUCUGUCAGGACCACCAAGCAUUUGCCCUGCAUAAUCUACCCCAUCUGCAAGAAGAAACUGAUCUUAUAGAGCUCCCUGUAUCACUGUUUUCUAAGGCUUCAUCUGGACUGAUAAUUUAGAUCUGCCAAGGCUCAUUUUCUGACAUGACUCCAGCUAGUAUAGAGCAAUGUGUAUUUAGAGUAUUUAGGUGCCUUGGCCACCCAAGAUGAGGCAGCCAACUCCACCCCACUCAAGAUGGACAUUGGCCUGUGCCAACUGCCAAGUCAUGCCUACAAUUUAUUCAGGAAACUGCUAAUUGAUAUCGUCCAAAGAUGUGUGGAGUCCCUUCCAGCAUUUGAACAACACUGAUGUUCAAGACAAAUUGCUCAGGAACGUUCCCUGACCCAGUUUAACUUGCUGGUUUCACUAUAAUUUGUAAUUCUGUAGCCAAGUCUGUCCACAUGCUCAUCAGAACUGUUCUCAAGUUGAAAAAUGAAAUAAACUUUAAUGUUCUCUACACCUGAAAACAAGAAGUCUUUUAUUACUUGUUCUACCUGGUGAAGAUUCUCUGUAGCUCUCCUAGUUAGACUCCUAUCCUUUUUUUCUCAGUAGAGGGCAUCCUUAGUUCAGUCACUUCAGCAGCCUGUAUCCAUACAGCAAAGAGUGGGGGAAAACUUCCUAUUGACUCCAAAGCAGACUAAAUUGACAACAACAAGUAAACACUUGGUACAGGCACAUAUUUAUGAGAAACACUGUCUUCUGGAACAAUCUGGGCCAGUAUUCUCUUGAACAGACUUUCUCCUCUUCACCCUAACAGGUGAAAAAAAAAAAUAGAAAGGUAUAUAGGGACUGGAACACUAAAAAACAUUUGUGAAAAUUUCUUCCUUAUCUUUUUAUGGGGGGUAGAGAAAAAUAACCAAUUUGAGCAUAGAGUCAAGAUAGCAUAUUUAUAUUUUUGUCAGAAGAAGGAGGGGAGACUUCUCUAUUUACUUCAAUUAAAGGUCUCCACAAACUCUUUUUUUCCCCCCUAGCUUUGAGAUCUUGGCAGGCUUUAUGUUUUUUAAAAAAAUCCAGCAUGCUCACUAGGCAAAUUUUCCCAUGCUUUCAAAGCUCUACUGCUUAGGCAAUCAGAUGUUAAUCCAACCACAGUCUAGCUUUUGCUUUCUUCCCAACAGCUUGAUAUCUCUUGCCAUUACUGCUAUACCCUCAGAUGUAGAAUAGACAGUGAUGUCGCUGUCCAGCACAUAAGUGGUAACGAACUGCAGCAUAAAUAAUGAAUUGAUAACAUGCAUGUGUUCCUCACCCCCAGAGCAUGUGCAGGGCUAAGCCAGCUGCAAAUAAUUUAUUCAACGCACCAGAGCUAUACUAAAUCAAGCCAAACAAUAUUGCCUUUUUUUUUUUUUUUUUAUAAGGGUGAAGUAUUUCCCACAAAGCUGGUAACUCAUAUAUGUUAACUUAUAAUCUCUAUAACUCAAAUGUUUUGCUUCAUAACACUCUGCCAGAAGUAAACAUCAACACAAUAGAAGGCAGCCUCUAACUUAACUGUGAGAGUCAGCAUGCAAAUGAAAUGAAGAAGGCACCUCUAAGGAAAGACAGAGCAUAAAAGUGAAAGUCUAAAGAGUUAAGUGAUCUUGGCCUUUAAACAAUUUUUCACUGAGUCUGAUCAGCAAAGAGUUACCACCCUAAAUAUUUUUAAAAGCAGGCCAAUGUAAAACUUGAAUUACAGCCCUUAAAUCUACCUGAUCUGUAUUGUUCUUUAUUGGUGGCCUUUACUGAUAAAUGUAAUGUUUACUUAAGAUCUCUGAUAUCAGCAAAAAAAAAAAAAAGAGGAAGUUUUAAAAAAAAAAAUAUUAAAAAUGUUUUAGCAAGCAUCUUCAUUAUAAAGGAGGUUUAUAACAUUUCUUUAUUAACAGCUAAAUUUGAAUGACAAUAAUUUUGCUAUGAUUUUUUUUUUUUUGAUAAACUGGAAACAGCAUACAGUGAUCACUACCACAUGUAUUUAGACUUGGGUUGGCUAGACUUGUAUUCUCCCAGGGAAUCUGGGUACUUCAACUGGAUUUCAUUUUUUAAAAUUUAUAUCUCACUGAGAAAUUUCCAGCUUAGCUUCCAAUCUAUUUAUUCACAAGAAUUUUUAGGGUUUCCACUAACUGUUGCAGAUGUUCUUUGCUGGCCUGGGUUCCGCAGUCUUGGAACAAGCUCUCGGGAGAGAAAAGGCCUAUUUUACAGGAUCAGACUGUUUAUUCACACUGAAGUCAAAAAGACUGGCUGUAUCACAUUGCAAACAACAGCAAAUUAUCUGAACAGAUAGAUUCCUUUUCAUUACAAGGAUAAAUGUGCACGUACACACACAUGCACACACAGACACACAGUCACAUGCACACAUAUGCAUGAACUGUUCGGGAGUACAUCUGAAGAAAAAAAAAAAAGAGGGAGGGAUGAGGUUAACAAAAGUUAAUGGAAGAAAAAUAACCCCCUUGGGCUUAGUGCUACUCCUGUCAUAGAGUAAUAAAGGGGUUUUGUUUGUUUUGUUUUGUACUGUUUCCCCCCCCUCCCCCCCCAACGAUGAAAACAGAUGACUGAGGCCUGAUUCUGUUUUCACCAAAACUAUUGUAAAAUCCAGAACUGGAAGUCGAGAAAAAAGGAGUAUUUGUUGGUGCUUGCCCAGAGAGGAGCUUGAAAGUUUAGGGCCUAAAACAGUAGUGUGACAUUAAUGUCAGAAUGUUUGUACUUCUUUAUUUAUGAAAGAAGUGCCCAUGUCUUUUUAGGUGCAGAAGUUAGAUGGAUGCAGUGGUAACAAAGGACCUAGUUUCUCAGAGAUUCUUAAGAGCUGCCAGAUAAAAUUAGGGUUUCAUGAAAGGCUGAGAGAGUGCAGACGCUCAUAAAUAACGAUGCUGUCCUCCUUCCUUCAACAGCACUGCAGUGGGCUCUUCUGGCAGCAGGCACUGUGUUAACACUUUUAAUACACUUUAAAAAUUAGGUUUAUAUUUUAAUGAAACAUCCAUGUCUGUUUUGAAAGAUAUUUUCAUUUUUAAGAAACUCAGAAGUUAUUUUUGUUCAAACAAUAUAGCUAUCUCAUCUUCCUCAUCCAGAAUGUGGAAUUUCUCCCUUGAAAAUUCAUAAAGAACUGCAAAAAACACAUAGCCGUGAACAUCGCUGGAGCCACGCUGUCUCCCAGCAGUACAUCUCUGGAUGUCAAAUAUACCCGAGGUUGCAUCUUUCUCAGUGAGAAACGAAGAAGUGGGGGAUCACAGUUUGUUACUUGUUAUAUUUACAGCAGAGGCUAUCCUGUAUCAUGCAGGCUCUCUCCCAGUGGACAGCAGGGAGCUGAAAGUGAAGAAAGGUGAUCCAAUGGAUUCCCCUCUAAGCCUUCAUCACAGACCAGAAAUAAUCCAAAUAUUUUUUAUAAACAUGAAGGCUUCAUUACAUUUAAAAUCAUGACAAAAUACAUACUUGUUUCAAGGUGCAAAACUAACUGCUAUAUGGCAAUAUUUUGUGCCUUAGAAAACAAGUGUUUGCACAGGCCUAGACAUUGUUACAUGAGUCAGAUAAUUCAAAACAGCUCAGUGUAAAUGAGAGUCAGGGGAAAACCUCUCACCAGGUUUGUUUCUUACUCCUUGUCUGUUAGAAAAAGAACUAUUCCACUGAACCUUUUAAAAGUAGAUUUAAAAAUGAAAGCAUGAGGACAAAUCAUCAACCUCCCCCUCCCCCAAAAAAACUACAAGCGCUAAGCAAGAAAAUAAUAUUUAUCUAGAAUCACUCUUCUAUGGGAAGCAAAAAAUUACACAAAAAAAGCCUAAAUUACAACAAUAGCAAGCCUUUUCUGACUCUGGAGUGAUGGCAUCCUCCAUGCCUUUUGGUUUUGUUUCAGAAGAAAAUCCACCUUCCAGUCAUUCAGCCCCAGAAGCUCCUUGGAACAAGUGGUCUCUAAGCUCCAGGGGGAACCAGGAGGCUGAAAGGGAAAAGGUCCCAACUGCAUCCUAACACAGCCCAAGAAAAUACAUCAUUAUUUGUGUUUCUUUCUUUGAAAUUCAGCCUCUUUUAUAGCUAAGGUGAUACAGACUGGUGUUCCAUUUAUUUCAAAUGGUCCCUGUUUCUGUGGUAAUAAUUUAGAUCUAGUAGCUGAAUCUCUGAACAGUCUGCUUGACUUCUCAAAGAGAGAUGAAAAUCCAGCCUGGAAAUCAAUGGGAACUUUUCUGGUAGUUCUGGGUAAUUGAGAUAAAUGUUCUUAUUAUUCUUUUCUUUAUCUUGCAGCCAGGCAGUCUUCCUGCAGGAACUGAGGGAAAAUAAAAAAGCAAUUUAUAAAAGCCAGCCUCAGAACUAAAUCUUACUGUGUAAUAUAAUCUCUCCUUGGGAGUUUUUCCCUUGACCAGGCUAUAUUGCUGCCAGUUUCAUGACUCCAAAGUUGGUGAAUCACAUCUUGAUUUGUAGCAGAACUGAGUCACGUGCAUUAUCACAAAUUGCACUUGCCUUUCCCAUUGCUACUGUGGGUAAGUAUUGCCAAUUCCAUUAGCGUGGCUAACAGUUCUAAUUUGCUUCUGGUUUACAUUGGCUGCAGGAAAAGCAAAUACAGUAACCCUUCACUUUAGGUGGUACCAGUAGAACUAGGUUUGUCAUGCCACAGAGCAGCCAAAAGAAAUACAGUAAUUUCUGGGAAACAGAUUUGUUUACGUGUUAUAUUCUUUUUAGUGCUAUGCUGUCAUAGCUGUAGACAGGUUUAACAGGCUUGGAUACAAAAGAUCUGGAUGAGAACUAUAAAAGAAGCAGGGGAAAGUGGAACAAAAUUAGGGAAAUACUGGAAGUAGCAGAGAAUACCAACAAUGGAUCCUUACUGAAAUGCAAAUUCUCUUGAGACAAGAGAACAGUGAAGAUAAAAACAUUGGUAACAUAAAAGAAGGAACUGAAUGUGGUCAAAUUCAGGCCCUCUAACUUAAAAAACAAACAGCAGAAAAGUGGUGAUAAGUAGCUGCAUUCUGGUUUCUCCAUUUGUGUGGACAUGUUCUCUGCAAACAACCAAAUCUCUUGGGAUCUACAAAACCCAUAACUGGGCUCCUCACUUUCCUUGUCACUUCUAUGUCUAGGACUUUUGUCCCUGUUAUACCUAAGCAAUAAUUAUGAUAACAAAAAAUACCUACAAUGUAUACAUGCUAAUGUAUUAACAUAGUUUAAUUUGUCAUGACUGGAAAUGGAAAGUACCAGACAAAUCUUUUACAACAUUGAUGAAAGAAAGUCACAGGAGGGCCAAGUGUUUCCAGAGCAUUCUUGUGUGAUGUUAAUCAAAAUGUUGAUUUCCAUAAGGAAGAGAGCAGGUGACUGACCUUAAGACACAUACAACAUUAGAUAAGCAUUGAAAGUUGCUGGGCCUUAUCAAUCUCAGAAGAUGUCACAAAAAUUGUAAUCUUGAGAAAGGGGUUAUGGGGAAGGCAAAAGCAUUUAAAGUUUGAUAAAUAAGCAUAUAUGUUUUUAAAAUUUGUCCCAAAUACCCCCAAGUUUCAACAUAGACUGAAUUAGUAAAUCUGCAGUGUACACUGAAGAAGUGUUAAAGCAAAACUAUGUUCAUCAUUCAUUGACAAACUGGCAGAAGAAAUUAAUCGCAUGAACUUUCCUUCAGUAAUUUCAAGGGGUGUAGAGAAAGCUCUCAGAACAAUUCAAAUAUCAGAAUUUAGGAGUACCAAGUGAAAGGAGACAAUUACAGCUGAUUUUUUUGAGCUAUUGCCCAAUGGCAAAAUAUCUUUUCUCUUUGAGCAACACAUAUUCCAGAUAUCUGCUGCUGGCACUUUGUCAUCUACUUCAUUGGAUGCUGUGCUUCCUGUUUUGGAUCCUAUACUAAGCACAUGUGGAAACUAACUUUUAUCAAAACUGACAGCCACUAUUUGAUAGACUAAUUUCUAAAAAAUGUGUGGAACUUUUUGGGCUUAAACACAAGGAAAUUCAAACCCAACUGGACACCCUCCACUGACCUUUAUGUGAAAAACCUCUGCUUGAAAAUUAUUAGGAGCAUUCCGGUAGAAAUAUCUCUAAAUCAGUUUUGAGACAUAACAAUUCCAUAGCUUGUCUCAUUAUGGCAAAAUUGUCUGGAAAGUUUGAUUUCUUGAAGGCAAGUAGAGAUGACUUUCCCAGCUAUCAAGCAGAGGAAGCCUGAUUGUGACAUCUCCAUAAAUGCUCAGGUCACAGCUGCCAAUUGAAAUGCCAAGAAAUGCACUGUAAAAGAGGGGUGACAAAAACUGCUGUUGGAAACCGGGAUCAGUGUCUGGCUGGGAGAAUAUGAAUUCUAAAAAGACAUGCCUCUGUUUCUACACAAUUUCCAGCCACAAGAAGGGAACCUGGAAUUUAAAGCAAACCUCCACCUUUCAAUCAAUUCAUCAAUUUCCAAAGCAGAGAUGUAGUCUGUAUUGAAUUUUACUGGAUGGCUUACAGAUUUUCAGAAAGGAUUUAUUUCUAAAUUAAUUUCCACAGAAUAUUUCUCUACACCUAUAUUAGCUUCAUCUCUCUUGUAUUUUAUGGGAUCUUUCACAUUGAUGAGGAAAAGUCCUUUUUUACCUGAAACAAGGGAAACUUGCCCAUUUAAAAGCCAUGGGCUGAGGAUACAUGUCUGUGGCACAGUUCACAUACUGGAAGCCACUCUGGAUAUUCUUGAUGGGUUAUGGGAAGCAUUAUGGCUGUAUUAAUACAGGACUUUACCCAGACUAAUAAUUUGCUUCUCAGUUGAGAUAUUAGCCUAGAGAAAGUGUUUAUCGAUGCAAAGAGUAUUUUGAUCCACAGUAACCUAUUUAGAUUUCAUUUGUCCUUUUUGGGACAUCACAUCCUGUUAAGCAGACUCUCCAAAAGUGGCUGGAAGGAAAAAAAACUUUUGUGUGAGAGGUGAGUCAUCUGAUAUAAAUUAAAUUUACUGCAUCCCCUGUGGAAGGUAUCAACAAAUGGGAAAGCCAAUGCAAUUAUUUACCAUUGAUCCUGACUGUGGUGAUUAUCUUGCAAGAAGAAGGCAGAUUAAUGUGCAGUGAGAAGGAGAAAAGUGUUUCUAGUCUGGUUGAGCAGGUUAGCCACAGGCCUAGUGAUCUGAUCUAAGGCACUUGAGCUGAAGUUUUCAAAUGCUUCUGCCUUCCCACUUGUGCACUUUAUCACAGUGAGAAGCUAGUUUUCCAAAGCACAUAUGAAACUGAUCCCAGGCUAUGCCUGAAAAUUUACAAGUAAAGGUUUAGAACUUCCUGGAAUGUACCUAAAAUGAACAUUGUGUACCAUAAUUCACUCCACUUUGUGGUGACUUUUGCUAUUCUGAGGGUAGUUUCCCCAUAUCAUACAGCCUAUUAUUUCCAAUAAUAACAAGAGAUUUUUUUUAUUUUUGGUUACAAGUGCCUGGCUGUUUUAUCUGUACAAUGAUAGCUGCAAUUUCAAUUUUAAAAAUCGCCCCCUUUGCAAGAGCCAGUAAUUUUGUUCACCACAUGUGUCUGGAUUCCUUUACAUUAUCCUAACACACACACAAUUGUCAAGCUAGACUUUGACAAUGAAAUUAGUGUCAUGG